CGUNGCUUAACACAUGCAAGUCGAACGAACCUUCGGGUUAGUGGCGGACGGGUGAGUAACGCGUGAGAAUCUGCCCUCAGGAGGGGGAUAACGGCUGGAAACGGCCGCUAAUACCCCAUAUGCCGAGAGGUGAAAUGAAUUUCGCCUGAGGAUGAGCUCGCGUCUGAUUAGCUAGUUGGUGGGGUAAGGGCCUACCAAGGCAUCGAUCAGUAGCUGGUCUGAGAGGAUGAUCAGCCACACUGGGACUGAGACACGGCCCAGACUCCUACGGGAGGCAGCAGUGGGGAAUUUUCCGCAAUGGGCGAAAGCCUGACGGAGCAACGCCGCGUGAGGGAUGAAGGCCUCUGGGCUGUAAACCUCUUUUAUCAAGGAAGAAGAUCUGACGGUACUUGAUGAAUAAGCCACGGCUAAUUCCGUGCCAGCAGCC
rnacentral:rRNA from 1 species